GGGAAGUGAAGGACUCGCAGGCAUAUUUAACAACGCAAAGUUGCUAGGAGUUGGUACCAGCGUUUGGGAGGUAGAGGUGGCGCUCAUGCAUAUUUGAGACAACAUCUGGAUGGUUGGGGAGAACGGUGAUGCCACACUCAAUCAGAAACUAUGCUACUGCUGAAGAGGUAUAUUGAGCCCUGCCUGGUUAACCUCCAGUGAGGUUAUUAGAGAAUUGGGAGAGGCUCAAAUCAGCAUCCUGCACCUAGUUAUCAAACCAUUGUGAAGUCUUGAUUCCUGGAUGGCCAGAAAACUUGUCAUUGGUCAAGAGCAACAUUAAGAUCUGCCUGUUACUCAUACUGAUGCUUCCUGCCCAGCAAGUUCAUCAGAGGGCGAGGAUGAAUUACGGUUGCCAUGAAUGUCCUUGUGAGGCAGUUGGGAAGCCUUGGCUGGAUUGUGAAGGAUAUUUGAAAAGUAUUUUAGAGUCCACCAGAUCAUCCAUGUGAGUGACCAUGCAGCAAAAGAAGGAGGGUCCUCUCAGUGAUUAAGGUAACAUAGUGAUUAAGGAUUAUGAAGUAUUAAUUCUUCCACUGAUAUCUCAAAAGGUGAUCUGGACAAAGGAACAGGUAUCUCAGUGCAGAUGCUUUUUAGUUUGAUGCAACUCAAGUUGUCUGUUGCGGGAAGUCAGGGACCCCAAACGGAGGGACUGGCUGAAGCCAUGGCGGAAGAACGUGGAUCGUGAAGAUUUCAUGGACAUUUAUUAGUUCCCCAAAUUAAUACUUUUAUAAUUUCUUAUGCCUGUCUUUACUGCAAUCUCUAAACAUAAAUUGUGAAGAUUUCAUGGACACUUAUCACUUCCCCAAUCAAUACCCUUGUGAUUUCCUAUGCCUGUUUUAAUCUCUUAAUCCUGUCAUCUCGUAAGCCGAGGAGGACGUAUGUCGCCUCAGGACCCUGUGAUAAUUGUGUUAAGUGCAGAAAUUGUAGAGCAUGUGUGUUUAAACAAUAUGAAAUCUAGGCACCUUGAAAAAAGAACAGGAUAACAGCAAUGUUCAGGGAAUAAGAGAGAUAACCUUAAACUCUGACCGCCGGUGAGCCAGGCGGAACAGAGCCAUAUUUCUCUUCUUUCAAAAGCAAAUGGGAGAAAUAUCGCCGAAUUCUUUUUCUCAGCAAGGAACAUCCCUGAGAAAGAGAAUGUGCCCCUGAGGGUGGGCCUCUAAAAUGGCCCCCUUGGGUGUAGCUGUCUUCUAUGGUCGAGACUGUAGGGAUGAAAUAAGCCCCAGUCUCCCAUAGCGCUCCCAGGCUUAUUAGGACGAGGAAAUUCCCACCUAAUAAAUUUUGGUCAGACAGGUUGCUCUCAAACCCUGUCUCCUGAUAAGAUGUUAUCAAUGACGAUGGUGCCCGAAACUUCAUUAGCAAUUUUAAUUUCAACCCAGUCCUGUGGUCCUGUGAUCUCGCCCUGCCUCCAUUUGCCUUGUGAUAUUCUAUUACCUUGUGAAGCACGUGAUCUCUGUGACCCACCUCCUAUUCGUAUACUCCCUCCCCUUUGAAAAUCCCUAAUAAAAACUUACUGGUUUUACGGCUCAGGGGGCAUCACGGAACCUACCGACAUGUGAUGUCUCCCCAGGAUGCCCAGCUUUAAAAUUUCUCUCUUUUGUACUCUGUCCCUUUAUUUCUCAACCCGGCCAAUGCUUAGGGAAAAUAGAAAAGAACCUAUGUGACUAUCUGGGCAGGUUCCCUGAUAGUUGUCUGGCUGUUUUUGCUGCCCAUGCUUUUAAGGAUGUAUCCAAGAAAUCAUUGCCCAGAACAACAUCAUAGAGCUUUUCCCCUAUAUUUUCUACUAGUAGUUUUACAGUUUCAAAGGCAACAUUUCA
ensembl:lncRNA FTX FTX transcript, XIST regulator